rnacentral:rRNA from 1 species
CAGGUAGGCGGUCUAGCAAGUCGGGUGUGAAAGCCCUGGGCUCAACCCAGGAAGUGCAUCCGAAACUGCGUGACUUGAGUACUGGAGAGGGUGGUGGAAUUCCUGGUGUAGAGGUGAAAUGCGCAGAUAUCAGGAAGAACACCGGCAGCGAAGGCGGCGCUCUGGGCUGGUACUGACGCUGAGGAGCGAAAGCAUGGGUAGCAAACA